GCUGACAUUCAGGAACAGAAUGGAAAGGGCUCUGCUCCUCGGCUAGCCAAGACCAUGGCUGAUUUGCAGGGGACAAUCUAGGGCAGUAAAGACCUGGAGAAGAUUUCAGGAGAACAGAAGAGUAAUAUCAAAGGCUAAACCAGAGCUCAGUCGAUUAAAAUAUUGGUGCUUCUACUAAUUGGCAUACUCCUAUGGUGCUAUUCUCAAGAUUCAUGCAGACAUAUUCCAGAAGUGUGGAUUCUGUCUUUGGCAACUUCACAGGAGAGAAAGAUGGCAUUGUUUCAAGUUGUCAGCAACCAGACGGUGCUUUUCUUUUGAUGAAUGAGAUACUGGUUGAGGAAUGUUCCUUCCACAAAGGUUCCAAAUUUCUCAUAAUCUUCUGCCAUUUAGAGAGGCCAGUUUUGUACUUACCAUGCCACUGAACAGAGAAAACUAUCUGCCUUAAAAGACUUUGGAGCAGAUUAUAUAAACCUGCAUUGAGAUAUAAAUUUCAGUUUCUCAUACUGACUCUGAAGAUACGCAUCCUUCUUUUUUAUAUUUGAUUGGUUGGAAAACAAAAAGAGAAAGAAAGAAAAGUCAUUUAAGAGGGAAAUUUAUGCCACCAACUACAUGCAAGGGAAAAGCACAUUACAUGCCGUCUGCUUGACCUUCAAAAGACAAGUCAAACGCCUCAACUAAUUACUCUCCUAGACUUUGAACUGACUUAAGAAACAGAAAUGCUGGACUUGCAAUAUUUUCAGCUUAGAACAAAACAAGAAGUCUUGUUCUCCUGGGAAGUCACUUCUCAGAAGUCUUCAAGCUUCAAGUUUUAGUAAAAAGAUAUUUAAAAUUUUAGAGCAAUACAUUUCUACUGGUCAUUGAAAAAGGAUAAAAUGCACUUCUGGUCAUCAGUAAAGGAAAAGGAAAAGCACCUGCAAUUCUGAAUCAAGCACCCAAUCUUACACACCUACUCUUCUCACGUGGUGGUAAGCUGCCAUUCGGUGAAGAUGUACUUUGUAAAAUCAUGAAGAAGGUCAGCAGUCUUUCAAACUCUACUAAAUUCCUGUCAUAUCCAUCUGCCACUACAACCUGGCCUGCUGAGCACCCUCAAGUCAAAUGCUUAGUUAUUAUACAGCUCAUCAGAAGUACUAAAAAUUCUGCUCUGGUAAUCCUGCCGUAGGAGGAAGAAUUCUGGCUUAAAGAAUGACCUCUAAAUCUAAGACAUGGGAAAAAUGCAGAGACUUAACCUUUGAAGUAUAGUCAUAUUACUACUGAGAAACUUGAAAGACUCUCAAUCUCUCCUCUAAAAAGAAGUGCUCCCCACAGCCUACCCUGCCCUGAUAAAAUGAAGAACUGCUACGCAAUCUUUCUGGACUUAAAGGUCAAUACUCGGGAACUCCUCUAAAGGAAGAAAACAAUGAAACAGAUGGGACCCAUACUUGGCACCUUUAACACUCAAUUUAUUAUAAAGUCCUGUCAAUAAAAUGCUGAAAUA